rnacentral:rRNA from 1 species
AUUGAACGCUGGCGGCAGGCCUAACACAUGCAAGUCGAGCGGUAGAGAGAAGCUUGCUUCUCUUGAGAGCGGCGGACGGGUGAGUAAUGCCUAGGAAUCUGCCUGGUAGUGGGGGUAAAGUUCGGAAACGGACGCCAAUACCGCAUACCUCCUUCCGGAGGAAACAAGGGGCCCUUGGGCCUUGCGCUAUUAAAUGAACCCUGGUCGGAUUAGGUUGUUGGUGGGGUAAUGGCUCACCAAGGCGACGAUCCGUAACUGGUCUGAGAGGAUGAUCAGUCACACUGGAACUGAGACACGGUCCAGACUCCUACGGGAGGCAGCAGUGGGGAAUAUUGGACAAUGGGCGAAAGCCUGAUCCAGCCAUGCCGCGUGUGUGAAGAAGGUCUUCGGAUUGUAAAGCACUUUAAGUUGGGAGGAAGGGCAGUAAAUUAAUACUUUGCUGUUUUGACGUUACCGACAGAAUAAGCACCGGCUAACUCUGUG